GUCCCGUUCGUCUAGUGGUCUAGGACGCCAGAUUCUUCUGGUUACAGGGGUUCGAAUCCUCUAUGGGAUG
rnacentral:tRNA from 1 species